rnacentral:tRNA from 1 species
GCCAGCAUGGCUCAGUGGUUGAGCGUCGACCUAUGAACCUGAAGGUCAGGGUUCGAUUCACUGUCAGGGCA